AGUAUUUGUACUUCACUUUUUUUAGGUAUCUUGAACAAUCAGUACUAUCAUUGGACCCACGUGAUGCAGUAACUAGUGCUCAUUUACCUACUGUAAUGAAAUUAUUAGCUGAACAAUUAAUUAAAACUGAAGAGAAGAUGAAGUCUGAAGGAUUAGGCUCAGCUAGUUUAUUUCGUACAAUGAAAACUGUUCGAAUGUUAUCAGAACAUGUAAGCAGUUCUUCAUGUGCUGGUAAACAUUAGUAAUAUAAUACGUUAACUGACAUUAUUUUACAUGUUUUGAUUAAUUAUUAGGCAGUAACUAUUUUUGACUUUUAAUGUUGAUUUAACAUUAUUAUUAUUAUUGUAUCAUGACAUUUAAACUUUCAAAAUGAUUUUCUUUCACUGAACCAUUUUACUUUUGUAUUGAGUACUACUGACAUGUUGAUUAUAGCUUUUAAUGAUUUUAGUGA